rnacentral:lncRNA from 1 species
GCGUUGAAUACAUCCAACCUACCAAAUGUCAUGGCCUAGCAGUGGCACACUGCAGGGUGUCGGUGACUGUGGCUUGACUGGAAGCGGUGGCCACACGGCUGCUGCCGCACCUGCCCAGUGUCACAAGAGAAUAUCAAACCACAUGCCACUAGCCCGGGAGAAGAUCAAAAUCCAAAAUUCAAAGUGGAGUUCCCAAGGAAGUCUCAACGCUUUCUCACAACGUUAAAACAAACAAACAAAUGUGAGUUGAACCCCUCUAAGUCAGGGACCAUCUGCAAUUUAUCCUUGCACCCGAGUAUCCAGAGAGAGAAUUCUAGGUUACAGGUAGUUUUCUUCAUUAGGGAAACACAGUUUUCACCUGAUUGUCCUCUUUCAGCACAGUGGCUUUCCUCAGCUGUGUUGGGGACACUUGUGGCUUGGAGAUCCUGUUUUUUCCUCUCCAGAGAAUACACCUUUGCAUUUUUCCUAGGGUGGGGGACAGGUGGUUGUUCUCUUGCAAAGGGGGUGGGAAAGGUGACAGGAAAGGCGCUGAUAUGGAACCCAAGGCUCCCGUGUGACAGGGUAGUGCUCCACCCCCAACCCCCAGCUCCGAUCUGAAUGUUAAAUCGACAUUUAACCAUUUUUCUCCAUAGGCACCUGGUACUGCAAAUCCUGAGUCACUCUUGCCUUUUCCUUGUGUUCACAUAGGAUUCAGUUCCUUCAGGUUUGUUAGUGUCUUUGUUCGUCUUCUCCCCAUUCUCCAGCUUUCCAAAUGACUUUUCUUUUCCCUUCUCUCUUUUUUUUUAAUUAAAAUUCAUGCCCUAAAAAUAAUUUUUAAAGAAAUCCCAUUACAGUUGAUUCAGGAGGGUAUUGAGGAAGGAAGAAAAGCGUACAACACUGCUUCCCUCUGUCCUCUGCCCCUCUGGCUGACUCUUGGCAGAGCACAGCAGCUUCAGAGUUGUUGUUUACAGUGGA